UGGGGAAUAUUGCACAAUGGGCGCAAGCCUGAUGCAGCCAUGCCGCGUGUAUGAAGAAGGCCUUCGGGUUGUAAAGUACUUUCAGCGGGGAGGAAGGGAGUAAAGUUAAUACCUUUGCUCAUUGACGUUACCCGCAGAAGAAGCACCGGCUAACUCCGUGCCAGCAGCCGCGGUAAUACGGAGGGUGCAAGCGUUAAUCGGAAUUACUGGGCGUAAAGCGCACGCAGGCGGUUUGUUAAGUCAGAUGUGAAAUCCCCGGGCUCAACCUGGGAACUGCAUCUGAUACUGGCAAGCUUGAGUCUCGUAGAGGGGGGUAGAAUUCCAGGUGGAGCGGUGAAAUGCGUAGAGAUCUGGGGGAAUACCGGUGGCGAAGGCGGCCCCCUGGACGAAGACUGACGCUCAGGUGCGAAAGCGUGGGGAGCAAACAAG
rnacentral:rRNA from 1 species